rnacentral:tRNA from 1 species
CAAGAUAUAGCUAUUUAGUAAGCCCCUCUUUUACACAGAGUUGAUGUCCGUGCAAUUCGGGCUGUCUUGA